rnacentral:rRNA from 1 species
GGGGUGGGCAAGUCUGGUGUCAGCCGCCGCGGUAAUACCAGCACCCCGAGUGGUCGGGACGAUUAUUGGGCCUAAAGCAUCCGUAGCCGGUUCUGCAAGUCCUCCGUUAAAUCCACCUGCUUAACAGAUGGGCUGCGGAGGAUACUACAGAGCUAGGAGGCGGGAGAGGCAAGCGGUACUCAGUGGGUAGGGGUAAAAUCCUUUGAUCCACUGAAGACCACCAGUGGCGAAGGCGGCUUGCCAGAACGCGCUCGACGGUGAGGGAUGAAAGCUGGGGGAGCAAACCGGAUUAGAUACCCGGGUAGUCCCAGCUGUAAACGAUGCAGACUCGGUGAUGGGUUGGCUUCGUGCCAACUCAGUGCCGCAGGGAAGCCGUUAAGUCUGCCGCCUGGGGAGUACGGUCGC